rnacentral:lncRNA from 1 species
UGUAAGUAUAACAAAACUCAUAUUGCAGGCAAAAACCUGUGAAAAAUAGAUUUUAAAAAAAUGUGAAUUUUGUGACUGUACUAUUUAGUGUCAUUGUUUUAUAGAUACCAUAGUGAGAAAGGAUUCAUUUCGCAACACCUACGGCUUCCACUAGAUGUCAACGAUCUUUAUAAAGUUGUUUGAAGCGUCUAUGAUAAACAGAGAGCAAAUUAGAAUCCAAGGAAGUUGACAUGUCAUCACUUCAUUUUUUUGCGCCUGCGCAUAAAUCUGAGAAGCGUGAGUUUUCAUCAUUGUUUAUCUAGACAUAGGAUAGGUUGUGUGAAAAUAUUACUGAUGUUUAACGUUAAAAAUGGACCAAAAGAUUAAUGCUAAACAACAUUUGACAUGUUUGAACAGACGUAAAUAGAUUAUUUACUAGGUUUUUUUAGCUUUUCGGCGUGAUUUUACACUCCCCCCACCACGUUUUGUGGGAGCAUAAUGAACGCUAAGUACUUGGUGUUAUUUGGACAUAAAUUAUGAACUUUGUCAAAAGAAACCACAUUUGUUCCGGACCUGGGAUGCCUUCCGGACCUGGGAUGCCUGCCUUCUGAUGGAGAUAAUCAAAGCUUUCCAGUGGGGGUCUGCGAGGAAAACCGGUGGCGCAUUUGAUGAAGUGUGAGGGAAAUUCCCGUCUAACCAAAAGAGGACGGGGACCUGCCCAGAACAGACUCUUACUGUGAACUGCCCAGGAGGAGACACAUCAUCCAUGAACAAUUGAGGAACGGCAACUGAUUUCAAUUGGGUCUGCUGGAUGGUCUGAUUUCUCCCUAAGGAUUAGCCCUUUGACUCCCUGACCUGUAACUGCAGUGAUAUCGCCAAGAUUAUAGGGGAGUAUAAGCCAAUUUGGGGGGGGGGGGUUCAACUGUGUGUUGUUAUUCUCUAAGACACUUGUCUUAGAAGUCUGGAUUUCCAGAAUUACAAAUGCCCUAAACUAAACUGUUGCUCUGGUCUGUCCUCUCUCUCAAGGUUAUGGUGAAGGUGACCACAGAUGGUAUCUAAAUGCAUGGAAGAUAAGUUGGCCGAGAGCAGAACAGUGUUAACCUCAACACCCCCCUAAAAAAAUCCUGAAAAUGUUGUUCAGUAUGGUCCUUCACCACUUCUACCGUGAGACCUGAGUCCAAGCCAGCAACCUGUACACAGCAUCCAGAAGCUAUCGACUGCCUUUUCUCUCAUGUUUUUUUUCUCAGGAUUGUGACAUGGGUCCAUGUGGAGUGAGCAUGGCGAGAGAUCCAGUCCAAACCUCUCUCAUGCUGCCGGUGUACUGGUAGGAAAAUGGACAAGAUAUAAUGGACUGUAAAGGACAGUGGCGGCUCAGGUGAGAGACAUUAUCAAGGGCCAUCCACUUUGAACAUGUGCCAUUAAAAUGACAAACUGAAACACUAUCUGAAGAAGAACAUGAAGAAACGCCAGGAAAGGAAUGGUGUCGUGAAGUGUGGGUGGUCUACCGUGCCCGUAAUUGAUUUAGGCUUAUCCAAAAUGGUUUAUUUGGGGUAUCAGGUUGAUUGUGGAGGUCUGCACAGAGCAUCAUGUUUUUUGCUCCUCCAGAGGAUGGAGAAAGAGUUAGAUGCCCACUCUGGAUGAGCCCCCUUUCCCCCUGUAGAUACGGACGAUGAGUAAUGAUUGAAGGUUGUUUCUUUUAACAAGUUGAAGGUAAGGUCAUCUAAACCCUUAACCUUUUUACAUCAUGUGAACACUGAGCUGACCUUUUGGGGGUCUUAGCAGAAUUGUUAAACAACUGGGUUUUAUAUUUUGACUAAGUUGAUGUCCCAGGGACAGUUAGUGACAACAUAGGUCAAUGCAACGUAAUUGUGGUAAGAAAUAUGGAAACAAUGGUUAACAUUGAGAGAUGUAUUCACCUCUGAACCACACAGAUCCCUUGUGUAUGUGUGUAUUCUUUUGAUACUCAUUCCUGUUAAGAGAAGUAUAACCUUUAUUAUGAUUAUAAUAUUACCAUACUAAGUGGAUUGUACAACCCAGAAUGAAGGGUUUGAAAUGAUGAAGUGUCUCGGUUUUUUUCAGUGUUGAUUUUCCUUACUUUAAUAGGAACAACAUUGAACAAUAAAUUACAAAUAAUAAUACUAAAAUCCUUAAACCCAGACAUUAUCUCAAUAAAUGAAAUGUGAAAGCCCCCAGGGGCUCUGGGGGAGUGGGAAUAUGUGUAAAGUCUGAUAUGAUGAAAGCAUAUAAAAUUGAAAUUAUCGAUAAAGCCAUAGAAGGAAUUAUUGGUUUGCGCGUCGAGCAUAUGGAGUCAGAUUAUUGUUUUGUUGUGUUUUCAUGCUAUUUGCCACCUGAACAGUCCACGAGGUAGAGAUGCAUCCUCCUUCUAUAGUCAUUUGUUAAGUCAAGUAUACCUAUGUACAGAAGCAGAUGCUAUUUACAUAUGUGGGGAUCGAAUUGGGAGGAUAGAUGACUAUAUAAAUUAUAUUGAUGAUAUUCCAUCGCGUGUUGCUUUGGAUGACUUUGUUAAUCAUCAUGGGGAAACCCUAUUAGAAUUCCUUCGGGACUCUAAAAUGUGUAUCAUUAAUGGAAGGAUAUGCCCCUUAAACGAUAACUUUACAUCCAUAUCUGGCAAUGGAAAAUCUGUGGUGGACUAUAUAGUUACCCUCCACAACUGUCUAGAAACUUGUUUUGAAUUUAAGGCGUUAUCUCCUACACAGAUGGUUGAAGAAUGCGGAUAUUUUGACUUAAUUGGAGAGAAAAGUAGACUUCCUGAUCAUUCUCUUUUAUUUAUGAUCUUUUCUGUUGGCCACAAACUUUCUCAACCAGGUAUUGCUGUGCAUCACACGUGGCAAAAUAUACCCCGCAUUGGCCUAAAUGUAAGAAAGGAAAUGUGCCAAAUGACUUUCUAUGUUCUGAAAUGGCAUGUAGAGCUCUGGUGGAAGUCAUCAAAACUCUGGAAAGAUGCCAAGAAACACCAUUUGAUUUAGAUGUGCGGUAUGAAACAUUUUGUGAUAUUAUAUACUCUGAAACAGGAAUAAAGAAUCCAUCCCCCAAGUCCAGGAAGGUUUACAAGCCGAACAAACCUUAUUGGAAUGAUGAGUUAAGGGAUCUAUGGUCAGUAAUGCGCAAGGCUGAGUACUUAUUUUUACAGUGUAAAGAUAGGAAUACAAGAGAACAGUGUUGGAAGGAAUAAAAAACAGCAUGUGUUUGAUAAAAGACUGCGCCUAUUUAAACUGAGAUAUCAGAGAGGGCAGUUAUUACACCUUGAGGAGAUACAGACAAGAAAUCCUCAGCAGUUUGGAGCCAAAUAAACAAGUUAGGAUCAAAACGACAUAAGAAAAUUCCAAAGGAAGUCAGGGAAGAGCAGGGGGGGCAGAAAUCUGAUAUUACACAGGUACUUAAUAACCUGUUGGGGCUACAGGUUAGCAAUGAACCCCGAGUCGGGAUUGCUAACAAGGCUGGAAAUUCAAAACAUAAAAAAUCUAAUAAUUUCAAUUUCUCAAACAAUCAACUAUUUUACACAAUUUAAAAGAUAAACAUCUCCUUAAUCUAACCACAUUGUUCGAUUUUCAAAGAGGCUUUACGGCAAAAGCAUAAAGUUAGAUUAUGUUAGGACAGUACAUAGCCACAAAAGUACAAACAUCCAUUUUCAAUUCAAGGUCAGG